rfam:Glycine soja cultivar W05 scaffold831_36, whole genome shotgun sequence.
CCUUUAAGUGAUGACGUGACAGACGGAGUGCCAUGUCAUCAUGCCUUGUCAUCGAUACCUCAUUGUCAUGUCAACACCCUCAAUGACGUGUCACUGACGUGUUAGUGAUUGGAUGUGAUGAUGUGACACUCCAUCUGUCACGUCAUCACUUAACGGAA